UACAGAGACUGCGAGCGUUAUUCGGAUUCACUGGGCGUAAAGGGUGCGCAGGUGGCUAGGUGUGUUAGGCGUGAAAGCCCGGGGCUUAACCCCGGAAUUGCACCUAAAACUACUUGGCUAGAGCAUUGGAGAGGGGAGCAGAAUUCAUGGUGUAGCAGUGAAAUGCGUAGAUAUGCGGAGGAACACCGAUGGCGAAGGCAAUCCCCUGGGCCUGCACUGACGCUCAUGCACGAAAGCGUGGGGAGCAAACAGG
rnacentral:rRNA from 1 species